rnacentral:rRNA from 1 species
CCUACGGGCGGCAGCAGUAGGGAAUAUUGCUCAAUGGGGGAAACCCUGAAGCAGCAACGCCGCGUGGAGGAUGAAGGUUUUCGGAUUGUAAACUCCUUUUGUUAGAGAAGAUAAUGACGGUAUCUAACGAAUAAGCACCGGCUAACUCCGUGCCAGCAGCCGCGGUAAUACGGAGGGUGCAAGCGUUACUCGGAAUCACUGGGCGUAAAGAGGGCGUAGGCGGGAUAGCAAGUCAGAUGUGAAAUCCUAUGGCUUAACCAUAGAACUGCAUUUGAAACUGUUAUUCUAGAGUAUGGGAGAGGUAGGUGGAAUUCUUGGUGUAGGGGUAAAAUCCGUAGAGAUCAAGAGGAAUACUCAUUGCGAAGGCGACCUGCUAGAACAUAACUGACGCUGAUGCGCGAAAGCGUGGGGAGCAAACAGGAUUAGAUACCCGUGUAGUC